UACGUAGGGGGCUAGCGUUGUCCGGAUUUAUUGGGCGUAAAGAGCGUGUAGGCGGCCAUGUAGGUCCGGUGUGAAAACUCGAGGCUUAACCUCGAGAUGUCAUCGGAAACCAUUUGGCUAGAGUCCGGAAGAGGAGAGUGGAAUUCCUGGUGUAGCGGUGAAAUGCGUAGAUAUCUGGAGGAACACCGGUGGCGAAGGCGACAUCCUGGACCGGUAUUGACGCUGAGGCGCGAAAGCCAGGGGAGCAAACGGG
rnacentral:rRNA from 1 species